ensembl:snRNA U6 U6 spliceosomal RNA
GUGCUUACUUUAGCAGCACAUAUAUUGAAAUUGGAACAAUACAGAAAAGAUUAGUGUGGCCCCUGUGUAAGGAUGGCAAAAGAUUCAUGAAGUGUUCAAAAUUUUU